GGAGAGGUCGCCUAGUCCGGUCGAGGGCGCGGCACUGGAAAUGCCGUAUCGGGGCAACUCGAUCGAGGGUUCGAAUCCCUCCCUCUCCGCCA
rnacentral:tRNA from 1 species